rnacentral:sRNA from 1 species
AAAUAAAUGUGUCUGAGCAGAUAACGCGUUAGGGUGAAGGAACAGAAGGGUAUCCACUACGGUCGUAAAUCUGUCCGUGUACUCUUGUGGACCAGUAGUGGUCGUCAUCUGACAUCGAGGGAGGGUCGCUAGAGUCCGGGCUGUAUAUCGUAGACAGGAGGUAAGCAGAAUUUAUAUCCUCAUUGUAUAUGACGAUAGAAGGACCCGUUACUGAAAAAGUGGGGGGAAAUCUCGAGUCUGCAUUGACACAGAACACGAGAACAAUCUGUAUGAAUUAAGAGGGUAAUUUUUAUUUAAUAUUUCGUCUGAAGGAUAUAUUGUUAUCCAGUGUCAUCCGGCAUAUUCAUCAGUCUGAACGAGAAUUCAUUUAUUUAUCAAUGAAAUUGUGAAAAUCUAAUAUUGAAACUGUAAUUAGGUCACUAUCUAAAUAAAGACUUCUAGCGGAUUAGACCCGACACAGCCUCUCGUCUUUCUGGGUCAUCCACCGCUGUACCUACCUGUAUACCUACCUGUGUACCUACCUGUUACCCCCCCCCCCCCCCACCCCUCCACGUGUCUGUGUUGCUGAGUUCAGACCAGGAACAAGUCCCUGAUUGGAUGUCAGAAGAAUGGAGGACGAAGGUCGGGGUAAAUGAUGAAGAUAAGGAUAAAUGAUGGACAACAAUUAUCCUGGAUUAUUUUAACUAUUAAAUUGUUUUGUGAGAUUAUCAAACGAUUUAUUUUAAUUAUUAAAUUGUUUUGUGAGAUUAUCAAAUGAAUUAAAUAACUUGUAAGGGAUGAGAAAAUAUGCAUCAUUUCGAUAGAAGUUAUUUCCCUUCGGACGUAAACAUGGUCAUUCAUUGGUUUGAGUAUCGGAGAUUAGCGAGGGUUAUAGAGCAUUGAUAACUACUUAUUUAUUUAAGAUAAUUCAUUCAACACAAACACAUUAGAGAUUGACACUUCGUAAGCACAGACUGAUAAAUGCUUGCCCCCGAUAAUAAACUAAACCUAUCAAUCUUUGAAUUACUAUGUAGCUACAAUUCUCGGCUAUACACAAGAAAAGGGUCCUGUUGAGUGGUUAUGAAGUCACAAAUUAUGCAUAGUGCAUUUUUCUUUCGCUGCAACCUGGUUUUGAUCAGCUGUUUGUAUAUAUACAUGUAUUGAUGUCUCCGAAAGUAGCACAGUGGUUCAACACUGAGAUUGUAGAAGUAAGAUUGAUGACUCGAAUCUCCCUAGUGUUGACUUCUAAAGGGCGUUUAUCCGGAAAAUUAUUAGAAUAUUUGUUUAAAAUAAGCAUUCAAUGCUUAACUGAUGCAAUGAGUUCAUUGUAAUAUACAUGUACGAUAAUGAUAAUACACUGAACCAAACUUCUAACUGUUCACACAGUAUAAUGUAUUGAUCAUAUGAGAUAAACAUACUCGUUUCUCUUGCCGUUCGGGUGGGUGAUCUAACUCAUAAUACAGUGGCGUCGGAAGCAAAUUGAAAGGGGGGAGGGGGGCUAGACUAAUCCUCAGAAAUCUUGACAAGC